CACUGGGCGUAAAGCGCACGUAGGCGGCUUGGUAAGUCAGGGGUGAAAUCCCACAGCCCAACUGUGGAACUGCCUUUGAUACUGCAAGGCUUGAGUACCGGAGAGGGUGGCGGAAUUCCAGGUGUAGGAGUGAAAUGCGUAGAUAUCUGGAGGAACACCGGUGGCGAAGGCGGCCACCUGGACGGUAACUGACGCUGAGGUGCGAAAGCGUGGGUAGCAAACAGGAUUAGAUACCCUGGUAGUCCACGCUGUAAACGAUGGGUGCUGGGUGCUGGGAUGUAUGUCUCGGUGCCGCAGCUAACGCAAUAAGCACCCCGCCUGGGGAGUACGGUCGCAAGGCUGAAACUCAAAGAAAUUGACGGGGGCCCGCACAAGCGGUGGAGUAUGUGGUUUAAUUCGAUGCAACGCGAAGAACCUUACCCAGGCUUGACAUCUAGGGAACCCUUCGGAAAUGAAGGGGUGCCCUUCGGGGAGCCCUAAGACAGGUGCUGCAUGGUUGUCGUCAGCUCGUGCCGUGAGAUGUUGGGUUAAGUCCCGCAACGAGCGCAACCCCUAUCUUCAGUUGCCAGCAGGUAAGGCUGGGCACUCUGGAGAGACCGCCCCGGUCAACGGGGAGGAAGGUGGGGACGACGUCAAGUCAUCAUGGCCCUUACGCCUGGGGCUACACACGUACUACAAUGGCGCGCACAAAGGGUAGCGAGACCGCGAGGUGGAGCCAAUCCCAAAAAACGCGUCCCAGUCCGGAUUGGAGUCUGCAACUCGACUACAUGAAGUCGGAAUCGCUAGUAAUCUCGAAUCAGCAUGUCGCGGUGAAUACGUUCCCGGGUCUUGUACACACCGCCCGUCACACCACGAAAGUCGGUUUUACCCGAAGCCGGUGAGCUAACUCGCAAGAGAAGCAGCCGUCUACGGUAGGGCCGAUGAUUGGGGUGAAGUCGUAACAAGGUAGCCGUAGGGGAACCUGCGGCUG
rnacentral:rRNA from 1 species